UCCUAUGGAUGCCAGUAUCACAAGUGAUGGCUUAACCCUCUGCACCAAAUGCUGGCCCCUUUGUCGAGAUUCUGCAUGAUUUUUUUCACAUGAUGUUCCUGUAAUUGAAAACAUACAUACACAAUACAGUCUCCUAAAGCAUUCUUCUGUUAACUGAAAAAUCAGUCUGCUCGAAAAUCAAAGUUGAAAUUCAUUUAUCUAUCAAAUUGAGGAUUUACACCUAGAAACAACCAAGCAGUUACUUAGGUUGGCUGUUCACAUGCCCAAGUUUGGUUAUAGAUUUUACACUUUUCUUACAGGAUGAAUAUAUGAUUGAAUCAGGUAUAAAAUUUUAGAUUUAUGUGUGGUUAUUAAUCAUAUUGAAAAUCAGAGUACCUCACUGAAAAUCAAAACACCUGGUAAUGGCUAACAGACUUGAUUAUUGAUUAAUGAAGUACAUUAUAAUUCCCACACUCAUGGGAUGUUUCAUAUAUGCAGGGAGAGGCAAACAACAGGGUCAUUAGUCACUCUUUCUACAAUGGCCCUGAGAUGGAAAGAUCACUCCUUUUGUGCAUGGCAUGGCGUUGAAGGUAAAGCCACUGUCUGUGAUGCUGGCAUCCCAUAUGGGCAUUGGUUUGUGUCUUGGCUAUUCCAUUUCUGAUCCAGAUACCUGUUAAUGUGCCUGUGAAAGCAGUGGAAGAUGACCCAAGUACUUGGCACCUGCAACCCACGUGGAAGGCCCAGAAGAAGCCGUGGUGUUGUGGCCAUCUGAAGAGUGACCCAGUGGUUGAAAGAUAUCUCUCUGUAUCUCUGACUUUCAAAUAAAUAAACAAAUAUUUAUUUUCCUUAAAAGAAAACUCACAUCUUAAAAGAUUUAUUUAUUUGAAAGGCAGAGUUACAAAGGGAGGGAGAGAUAGAGAGAGAGGGGUCUUUCACCUGUAGUUCACCCCCAAAUGGCCACAAUGGCCAGGGCCGGGCCAUGCCAACCAGGAGCUUCAUCUGGGUCUCCUACAUGGGUGCAGGAGUUCAUUUACUUGGGCCAUCUGCAGCUGCUUUCCCAGGCACAUUAGCAGGGAACUGGAUCAGAAGUGGAGCUGCCAGGACUCGAACCACUGCCUUUAUGGGAUGCCAACAUUGCAGGCAGCGGCUUUACCCACUAUGCCACAGUGCCAGCCUGAACACAUGCUUAAGUAAUGUGUAGUAAAUGUUUUUGUUUCUUUAGUGAAAAUUGUGGUUCACUAAAAUAUCAUGUUACCUGGGAACCAGUUGCAGGAUGACUUCACAACAUGGAUGGCAUCUUAGCUGAUGUAGGCGUCUGUGGUCAUCUUUUGAAUUCCCACUUCUAAGUGUAAAACUUGGUAAGAUUUAAAAUCUAUGGCUCUCCUUUCCUUCCCGCCUUCCACAAAGAACUUUGUGAUGGCCAGUGAUGCUACUCUGAGUGUCAUGCCUUGACUUUUGGGAUAUACUAAGAGUACUAGGAAUGAAUCAUAUUGCUAUGAAAAACUUCCAUUUCUACUGGUCUAAGAUAUCUCAGGAUGGUUUUCUCCUCCGUUUGUCUAAUGAGUGAUUUGCAUUUUUCCAAUUUUAGGUUACCACACUUGUAAACUGUCCUCAGAAUCCUUCCAACAGGAAAAAAGGACGUUCAAAAAGAGCUAGAGUCCUUCUAGCUUCUGUGGAGGAAGCAACUUGGAAUUUAUUAGACAAGGGAGAGAAGAUUGCCCAGGAGGCUACCAAUUUAAAGGAAGAGCUUAAUGCUGCACUGGAGGAGGUUCGAAAUGAAAGUAAAGCUUUGAAGGUAUCAGCUGAGCAAUUCACAGAUGACCCCUGUCAUCUCCCAAAAAGGGAGGCUGUUGUUCAAGCUGCACGUGCCUUGUUGGCUGCAGUAACUCGACUCCUUAUCCUUGCGGACAUGAUUGAUGUCAUGUGUCUUCUGCAACAUGUGUCCACCGUUCAAAGGACCUUUCAGUCUCUUAAAACGUUUCCAACAAAUCUGACCUCCAGAAAACAUACCAGAAGCUUGGGAAAGAGCUAGAAAAUCUGGAUUAUUUAGCCUUCAAACGUCAGCAGGUAGGAAUCAGAGCUCUCCUUGGCAAAGGAAAGGAGCAUGUUAGACUUCCUGCUGUUUUGCCUGCCAGAGAGAGGUACAGGUGGGUCUAGGGAGACUUAACCUUCUAAGGGUUAGGGCACAAAUAGGUUGUACUGCGUUGAUCCACUGUGUUCUUAUGGCUUCCUGCAGUGUUCAGUGUGGUCCUUGCUUUUAGAUGUGAAUGUUACGGGUUUCCACAUGUGUGCCCAUACCUCGCUUAAAGAAAACUCCUGCUGGUUUGUGAAGGUCCAACUUCCCUUUGACUAACAAUGUCUCUGGCUAAAAGGUCACCUCUAUGAUGGCUUGGUCACAUAGUGUUUAUAUUUGGCAGGGGGAUAGCUGAAGAGAAAAAUAACUUGAAGGAGAAAAAGCUGUGGAUGCAUAUAUAAAAUGAAGGGAAAGAGUAAAAAAUAUGCCAAAAUAUGAAUUGGUCUUUAUUUUUUGUUCUAUCUUUGAAUAAGUAAACAUUUGCUUCAUGUGGAAGGUUGAAGGAAAAUAUACUUUACAAAUGCAAGUCUUUUUGCUUCCUUGUGCAGGCUUCAAGAUAAAUCCAUAGCUAAAAUAAGCUUUUACAAGAUUCUCUAAGAAUUGAUACUUUAUAAACCCAAUAUUCACAGUAAUUAAAUUCUGGGUCUUUUUGAGUUAGUCCCACAGUAGCUGGCUGCUGUUCGAGGGCUGGUCUGUUCCAGUUUCUUCAGAGCCACUAGGUGUCAGAAUUGUAAAGCUUUUUCUUUAAUAGAAUGUUUAUUCCUAUCAGAACAGCCAGUUACACGUUUAAUUUAGGUUGCAUGAAAUUUGGGGAUGUGCUCAGUGAUGGAUAUCAUCUAGAAAAAUGACUAAAUGACUAUCUUGCAUGGCCAGGCACCAAGUCCAUCACUUAAGAGUCUUCCUGUGGUGUGGCAAAGGGUGUAAUAUUCUGGUCAUUGCCCAAUUUUCAAAUUUUAGGUCUUUUAGAUGAGGAUUUUCAAAGCAAGACUUCUUAUAUUUAAACCUCAUUAAGUUUUUAUGAUGUAAUCUAGAAAUAUUGGCCUGAAAAGAGAGUUACAUUCUGGAUCUUAGUCUAUCACAUUUAUUAUUUGACCUUUCUAUGGUCUUUUCUUUCUUUCUUUCUCCCUGGAACUUUGUUUUGUAUAAUAUUACAAGCAAAUUAUACUUUAAUAUAUAUGAAAAGGCCACAAUAUCCAUGUAAAUUUUAUUUAAAAAAUUAGUACUGACCUAGAUAUUAGCACAUAUAACACAGUCAUAGUUACUGAAAACUGCUACAGCGAGCUCUCAGAUGUAGCUGCUUAAAAUGCACAUUGUGGGUCACUGCUCUGGCCUGUGCAGUUUUUAGCACAGUUUUGUUUCCAAGACCGUAUUUUAUUACUGAAGGGUAUUUUAUUUGGCAGACAGUAGUCAUUGUCCUCUUUUAUCCUUUCUCAUUAGAACAUUCCAGUGAUUCUUACAUUAGACAGUUGUGAAUCUGGGUGAAGGUGAAUGCUUCGAGGGUAAAAGGAUAGAGCUCUGUGAGAAUGGCACUGAGGACAGAUAGGUAAAUUGUCCAUGUUCGAGGAAAAAAUGGGCACAUGGGGUGUAUAUGUUAUAUGUAUAUGUUAUUAAGUAACAAUUAUAUGCCAUCUAAUAUUAUAGAAACAUUUAUGAAUCAAGUCAUUAAAUUCUUAUAAUAAUAUGGUGGGAUUGAUUUUAUUAUUGCCAUUUUACACCUGAGAAAAAACUCUUAAGAGAAUUAAGUAACUUUCUUAUAGUCAUAGUGAUAAAACAUGAAGCUGGGCUUCAAAUCUUAUCAGAUUGACUCCAAACUUGGAUGUUGCAUUUCCUGUAUGGGGCAUGAUUAAAGGGUCAGAAUAUCAGAUCUUUUCUGAUUUGGUAGAAUUUGUCUUUUAUCUCCCAUCCUAUUCCUUUAUAGUUCCAAAAACCUAAUAAGCAAAUACUGGAAGGUGCUUUUUUUCUCCAACUGGAAAAUAGUUAGGUCUUUGUAAAAACUGCCAAUUUUACAAGAAAGGUGUCCCAUAUUAAGGCAGGAUUCUUUGUACUAGAGAAUUAGUCAUGGUUUGUUCUUUCAUCCAUUAUUCCUCAGUGUGACAGAAUGUAAACUGCAUAAGGAAAUUGCCUUUUUUGUCACCUUCAAUGUUGUGUCCUUUCCAGUGUUCAUGACAGUAUCUGGCCCAUCACAAAUACCCAAUAAAUAUUAUUGGUGGUGUUGUUGCUAUGAGAAAGAAGUAUGCCAAAAGAUUUGGUUUCAGAUUGUGGGUAAUUAAAAUGGAUAUGUUUUGCUAUCCUUUUAAAAUUUGGAAGGGCAUUGUUUCCUGGUUUCCUGGAUGCUGGAGGCUGAUAGAUUGACCUUUGCCCUAUAUAUUAUUUAUGUUUUCUCCUGAUAUAUUUUCUUCUUUUAUCCACUUCUUAAAGAAACGGAAAAUAUCAGUGUUACUGUAGGCCUGAUUUUUAGGUGUCCCAUGAAUCAACUUUAAUUAUUUUCUUGGACUCACUCAUAUUUUACUUGCUGUCUUUUUCUGUGACAUUUUUAGCAUCAUUUUUUGAGAGAUUGUUAAUGGGGCCUCUUUCCUAGGCAAGAAUUUAGUUUUUUUUUUUAAAAGAGUUAUUACUGUAGCAGACAUCAUAGUAUUGGUAGUGAGUGAAGCUACUCCUUAGGAUGCUUGCAUCCUGUAAUGGAGAGCCUGUUUUGAUUCUUGGCUCCUCUGCUUCCCAUCCAACUUUCUACUAAUGUGCCUGGGAGACAGCAGAAAAUGUCCUAAGUAUUUGGGUCCAUGCCACCCACAUGGGAAACUUGGAGAGAGUCCCAGGCUCUUGGCUUUGCCUAUCCCAACUCCAGCUAUGUUGAAAAUUUGAGAAGUGAACCAACAAAUUAAAGAUCUUCCUCCUUUUUUUUUCUCUCUCUCUAUUUGUGUGUGUGUCUCUCUCCCUUUUUGUCACUCUGCCUUUCAAUUGAAUGAAUAGAUAAUAUAAAAAAUUGUGAGUACUCCUGUUCUUUGUGUCAGGCACAUCCAGCUCUGCAUUUUUCUACUUUCAAAAAGACUAGUGUUGAAAAUAACUUUGGUUGGAAAAGGUGAGAGAGGAAGCCAUGAUAGGUGAGGUGGUGCUUACUGGAAUGAGUCAUCCUGAAGUAAAUAGACGAGAAAGCAGGAUUAACCUGAGAAUCUGGAGACUUUUCAGUUCUUCCUACCUGGAGAUGCAGUCUUAGAGUUUAAGUACUUGGAAUGCUUGGUGUUAAAUCCUCCUGACUGGUGCUAUGGAGGAAGGUAAUAGCAAACCAAAACUAUUACACAGUUAUUGGAUUUAUAUAUUAAUUUGAGAGGUUAUAAAUCAAGAGACCUCCUUGGGGCUUAGAUUUUGUGUAGUAAAAUAAAAUAAAAUUUGAUAAACUUGAUUUUAAUUCUUUCCUUUCUUCUACCCUUAAUAGUUAUGAUAACAUUAUUAAACAUAUCUUCUUUUUUUAAAGGUGACUUUAAAAAAAGAGAUUUAUUUAUGUAUUUGAAAGGCAGAGCUACAAACAGACAGGCAGUGGCAGAGGCAGAGAGGUCUUCCAUCUGCUGAUUCACUCUCCAAAUGUCUGCAAUGGCCGGAGCUGGGCCUAUCCCAAGUCAGGAGUCAGAAGUUUCCUGUGGGUCUCCCAUGUGUGUGCAGGGGCCCAAGGACUUGGGCCGUCUUCUACUGCUUUUCCAGGCCAUAGCAGAGAGCUGGAUCAGAAGUGAAGCAGCCAGAUCUCGAUCUGGCAUCCAUAUAGGAUUCCAGCACUGUAGACAGUGGCUUUAUCUGCUACACCACAGCAUUGGCCCCUAUAAAACAUAUUUUCUUUCCAGAGGUUUCUGAAGUCCUUUAAUAUAAAUUAAAGUUGACAUUAUUGGGUUGGGCAUUCUAAACACCAGGGCACAUAUAUAUGUUGGUGCCAUAAUAUGUAAAAUUAAACUGUUGUACUUCAGAUACAUAUCUGUGUUGGAAUACAUCGCGUACCUAUGAUUCUUGUCUUGUAUUCAUUGCAUAUUGUUGUUGCCCUUUUGUUUUCAUAGAAGAUUUAUACACUCUGGUAUUUAGAGUUUACACAGCUCCUUUCUAUUUACUUAUUUAUCUACUAAUCAUUCUUUAAAUUCAAACUGAAGCCUAGCCUCCUUCAUAAACUGCAUUCUAAGAGCACUAGUCAAUGUGUAAACUCUUCAUUCUUUGCUAUUCUUAGCUAUUAUCUGUGUAAUGUUAUUUAGCAUCUGAUUAAUUGUGUAAUCAUUGAGAAGCAAUCUGGUGUAGUGGUUAGACUGUAGGCUUUGUAGUUAUCCAAACUAGGUUAGACUUAUUUGUACUGCCUUGGAUAUCCAAGUUUCCUCUUUUAUAUAAAAUAUAAAGUCUCUUAAAGUAUAUGCAGCUCUUAGUACAACACCUGGUGUGUGUAUAGGAUAAAUGGUAGUGUAUAAUAUUGUUUUAGGUUAUCCUCAUAAGCAUUUUCCUAAAUGUAAAUGGAAAAUGACUAAACAAAAAUUUGUAAGUCCCUAUAAGAUAUAUUCUCUAUUUUAUAUGCCUUUACACAGCACAUAGGAUCUAGCACUGUUCAGAACAUAAAAAUAGAAUGUUUUUGGACAUAUGCAGUCUUAUUUUUGAACAUAUGCAGGUUGCUGGUUUGUGUCACAGAAAGGACAUAUUGAUAUCUCACAAGAUGGGAGAUUCAUCAUUUGGUUCUAACGUGUUUCUAAGGAAAAUAGCUAAAGUUAUUUUUACUUGAUGGAAAAUGAAAUGAAUCUUGGAUCCAAUGUUCUAGCAAACCCCAACUCAUAUAAUUAUUAUACUUUAUAUACCUACACUUCCCUAUGCUUUUGUACAAUACAGUUUUUCAGGAAUAAGCCACUGAUUUUUUCUUUCACUAAGCUAGGUAUGUUAACCCUUUUAGAUAACUUGAAAACUGGAAGGGUACUUAAUUCCUUGUAGGAUAAGAAUUGAAUUGAAAAUGAACUUUUUUUAAUGAAGAAAUAUAUAAAUAAAUUAGAUGAAAUUUAUUUAGUGAGCAUGACUGUAGGUUAACAACUUUUAGUUGAAAAAUAAAAUUUUACUUAUUAUCUCCUGUCUUUUCAAUAAUGGACAUCUUCACAGGUGUGAUAGACAGGAGAUUACAAGAGUUGGCUCUGAGGUGGAGAAAAAGGAAACACUUUGCAUACUAUUGGAGGGAAUGUCAAUUGGUAAACUAUGUAGUUUUCUAUAUCAGUAUCUUGAAGAGAUAUCUGCACUCUUACAUUCAUUGCAGUUCUAUUCACAAAAAAACAAUAUGGGAUCAACCUCUGUGUCUACAACCAUCGACAGAUGAGUAAAGAAAAUGGCACCUCUCUCUCAGAUCCCUCUCUUUCCCUCCCUUUCUAUGUGAAUAUUGUUCAAUCUUAAAAAAGAAGGAAAUCUUGCCUUGGAGAUUACAGGGAUGAGCCCGGAGGCCAGGUCCAGAAAGACAAAUACGAUUUAUGUGUGGAAUCUAAAUGGUCAGUUACAAGAUGAACCAGUUCUGAGGAUCUAACGUACAGCAUGAGUGGCAUGGAUAUAUUCAUUGAUUUGAUUAUAGUAAUCAGUAUACAAUGUAUAUAUUAUAUUUGGUAUAUAUCAAAUUAUCAUUCUGUAUACUUUGGAUAUAUUUCAUUUUAUUUGUCAAUUACAUAUUUUUAAGUAAAAAAGGAAAUAAAGUCCAUAUGGAUAAUGAUUGACCAUACAGAAAGUCUUGGGCUUACCCUGGAAACCAAGAGCCCUGGGGACACAAGACUACAGUGCUUAGUCAAAUAAAACUGAAUAGUACUAGACUUGCUGUUGUUGUACCAUAGUAUAAGAGAAGAGGAAGUUGAUUAAUCCCAGUAAUAAUUUCCAACUAUGUAAAGUCUUAAAACCAGCAAAAUAUGAUGAAUCAGCAUAAGGGGAUAUGCAAUGAUAUUGCACUAGAUUUUGUUUAUUUAAAGACAGCAAAAGCACACUUUGCACUGGGAUUAACACUAAAAUGUAGAUUAUAAAUAUAUUUUACUCAAGAGCUUUACAAAUAAAGAACAUAUACAUCUGGAAGUAUUUAGAUGCAGUUUAAGAAAGUGUAAUGGUGAAGCUGGACUGAAUGAGCACUAAUGGGAGGUGCUAAGCUUCUAGAACAAUGGUUCUAUAGGCAAUAGACUUACUUUGUUGCAUAUCCCCUUAUGCUGAUUCAUAAUAUUUUGCUUGUUUUUAAGUCUUUUUUUUCUUUUUUUAUUGACAGGCAGAGUUAGACAGUGAGAGAGAGAGAGACAGAGAGAAAGGUCUUCCUCUUUCUGUUGGUUUACCCCUCAAGUGGCCGCUACGGCUGGUGCGUUGUGGCUGGCGUGCUGCGCCGAUCUGAAGCCAGGAGCCAGGUGCUUCCUCCUGGUCUCCCAUGCAGGUGCAGGGCCCAAGCACUUGGGCCAUCCUCCACUGCCUUCCCAGGCCGUAGCAGAGAGCUGGACUGGAAGAGGAGCAACCGGGACAGAAUCUGGCGCCCCAACCAGGACUAGAACCCCGGGGUGCCGGCACUGCAGGUGGAGGAUUAGCCUAGUGAGCCGUGGUGCUGGCCAUGUUUUUAAGUCUUUACAAGGUUGAAAAGUAUUACUGGAACUCAUCAACUGCUUGUUCUCUUAUUCUGUAAUAAAACAAGCCUGGCUUUAUUCACUUUUGUUUCACUAAGAAAUUAAUCCAACCCUCUUGAAAUUUUCUGACUGAAUUAUUCCUUUUAAGAGUAAGUGAACCAAAGUCUGCUAAAAUAUUCAUCUGUUCUUGAUGGUAUUCUGUUUCUUAUUUGCCCAAUCAAGUAAAAUUAUUGUUUAUGCCAUUUAUAAACUUUUUUCAGAAGAUCUCAAAGCAUUUCAGUAUCAUUUAAAGAUUUAUUGUACAUAGAAAACGCUGAAUUAUGAAACAGUGUGCUACACUAAAGUUCAAACCAACCCAAACAUGUUUUAUUCUAUCUACUACAUAUGCAAUUCCAUUUCAAUUCAGUUGUACACAGUUGUUUGUUCCAGAGGGAAAAAAGAUGGCAUUACAUUUAUUCUUCAGUUUUAUGACAUGGAGAGAGAGAAUGUUGGAUACAUAAUUCAAGGUUAUUCUGAAUCAAUAUAAGCUUAAGAAUUAGUAUUCACAUUCCCUAAUUUCUAGCUCAUUGCAGUAGCCGUCUGACAAUUUUCAUUACUUCAUAAAGUGUAGAUAUUUAUAGGGUGAUUUCUUUUCCUAUAAAAUCUGAGAAAAAAUCUGUAAGAUAUUUGUGUGAAAGUCCUGCCUUUUAUUAAACGUGAAAGAAAGAGUAGUGCACUUUACACAUUUUUUUCUUUCUAAAAUUUGAUUUCCACAUUGAUAGUUCAUGAUCAUGACAAAUAGGUAUCUUCUAUUAAAUUCAUGAAGUAAAAACAUAGUCAUAAUCUUAGUCAUAAGGUUUGCUAUCUGUUGUCUCUGGUAUUGAGUUUUUUUGGUAGAAUUUAAGUAGAAAGAUGGUGAAUCCAGCACAUAAUAACUUAUUUACAUGACUAGAAAAGUUUUAUUAAUUUUUAUAAGGCUGUUUGCUAGACAAUAGUUUGCCUUAUGGGCAAUUUAUAGCCACUUUAUAGUGGAAAAUGUUUAUUGAGUAGUUAAUGCUUUGUUAUAGGUUGUUUCAAAAUUUACAAUGCUGAAUUGAGAGGUGAUGAAAAACUUCAGCAUUUGCAUCAAUGUGGUGCUUAUUUGUGUAUGUCUUAUAUUGACAUAGUGAAGUCCAUAAAGUUGUCAAUAAAAAUUGAGAUUGAGAAUAAAUUACGUAAGAGUUAACUCUGAAAAUGAUUAUUUCUUUAGUCUUUUUUGUAACUUGGAAAUGAUCUAUACAUGAAAAUAGAACCCAUUUUCACUGCCAAGAUUAUUGAUCUCUGCUGGUUUAACAUGCAAACUAAAGAGAAUAUAUAAGACCAGAGAACUAAAUUAAUGAGUCUUCAGAAUUAGUCUAAUCCAAAUUGGUUUAUUUCUAUUUUUAAAAAUAUUUGAGAGGCAUAGACAAACAGAGACAGAUAGAGCUACUUAUCUGCUGUUUUCACUCCUCAAAUGGCUUUAAUGUUCAAGGCUAACCCAGGGUAGAAGCUGGGAGCUGGGAACAUAGUUGUAUGGCAAUAUCCCAAUUAUGUGAGCCAAUACAAUUUCUCCUUAGGUUUGCUUCAGCAGGAAUCUGGAGCCAGGAGCCAGAACUUGAUAUUAAACCCAGGCAUGCCAAAAUGUAGUACAGGUGUCUUAUCCAAAGUCUUAACCAGUAAGCUAAACACUCAUCCCAUAACUGAAUUAUUAUUUUUAAAGAUGAGAAAAAUGAGGCUUACCAAGAUUAAAUAUCUUGUGCAAGGCCAUAAAUUUUGCUAAUGGAAGAGCUGGGACAAGAACAAAUAUGAUAUUUUCUUGUAGUCUUUGGUUCAUUGGUGAGUCCUUUAGCAUAAGUCAACUUAUUGAUUGUUUGCCAUGUCUGGUUUGUGUUCUGAUUGAGAAAAAGCCUGCAAUAUGAAAAAUAUUGCUUUCCGGUUUGAACAGCUGCAUGAUUCUGAGACUGGACUGGCAACAAAAGUCCCUUAAAUUGUAAAAAGAAAGCCAGAACAUUCAGUUUAUUUGAUAGUGGUCAUGGUUUGGGUUGGCUUGCUCAGGUAUGGUCGGAAGGAAAGGCUCUUAGAGCAACCUUUAUGGAAAAAUCAUACUUCUUAUGGCUUUUGUAUCUUAAGAAACAUUUCCGUCAUCAAACCUCUGCUAGACUCAAGCAGUGACACUUUCUCAGGGAACAGCUAGAACAGAGGUGUCCUUCUUAGAUUCCCCCAAUAAAGAAUGUGGGUGGUAUCUUCUCUAAAAUGUGAGCCAUCAGCCGUAUCAAGACUCUAAGGUGAAUGUCUAAUGAUUUCCCAAAGAAAUUUGUACAAAUUGCCUUUGUUUUAUGAGAGGAGUGAGCAGAAAGGUUGUCUUUGCAGAAUCUGAAGCUUUUUUUUUUUUUUUUCCAAAACUUUGAUUAACUUUGUAAAAACAUUCUUAUAACAAGCAUAUAGUACUGGUCUUUGGCCCUCCAGAAAAUUAAUAGGCAAAAUGCACUGACUAUUCACAAAAACUUUUGCUAUGACUUUAUGAUACUUUCUUCUUGUGUGGUGUGCUUUUUUUGACCUCUUGGUAGACAUUGUGUUGGUUAUGUUUUGUGUUCAGAAACAUGCUGAUAAAUGCAUAUUUUAUCUCCUGCUAUAAUUCUUGGCAGAAAUGUUUUCAAAUCUUUUAAAUGAAUUAUUUAUUUAUUUAUUUGAAAGCUAGAGUGACAGAGAGGGAGAGUUAGAGAAAGAGAUCUUCAUCUGCCUGUUCACUCCCAAAAUGGCUGCAAUGGGCAGGGCUGGACCAAUCUGAAAUUAGAAGCUAGAACUAUAUCUGGAUCUUCCAUGUGGCUCAAGUACUUGGGACAUCAUUGAUUGCUUUGCUGGGUACAUUAACAGAGGCUGGGUCAGAAGUGAAACAGCUAGGAUCAAACCAGUGUUCUGGUGCUGGCAUUGCAGGUAGUGGCUUAACCCACUGCAUUACAACGUCAGACCAAUGAUUUAUUUUAUAACCAGUUUGUUACCGGUAUAUAAAAGCUCUGUUUUAAAAUUUAUUUACUUUCAUGCUAUUUGAAAGGUAGAGAAAGAGAGAGAUUGAUUGAUGAAUCUUCCAUCUGCUGUUUCAUUGCUUAAAUGCCCAGAACAGCUAGGGUUCAGGUAGGCUGAAGCCAGGAGCCUGGAACUCCAUACUGGUUUUCUUUUUUUUUUU